rfam:Calypte anna contig123499, whole genome shotgun sequence.
UACACAAAGCAUAUGAUGAGAAAGCACUGAAACUGACCCCAUGUGAAGUGCAUGCAAUCCAACCCUGAGCUUUGUGUC